rnacentral:lncRNA from 1 species
AUCACUUUUUUUUCUUACUCCCUGCUCAAAGGGAUCUUGCUGUCCUGGCUGAGAAGUGCCAGAAUGGACUAGCACUGCUCUAGUGGCUUAGCAGUCAUUUGGCAGACAUUAGUUUGAAUUUCAUGAGGUCUGUUCCAAGUCCUGGGGUAGCCAGUUUGGGGUGGGAUAAAGAUCAGUUUGUUCUUUGAAGAAAUGGUGUCCAGCACUUAUCCCAAGCACAGGGAAAUGCCAUUUAGGAGUCCCUGGGUGAGACAUGGCAUUUCAGGCUCAAUCUGAUUUCAUAUUUCCUGAAAUAUGUUAGGUGGUAUAUCAGACAAAGGAGGCAAAGAAUUUCCUUCCCAUUUAACAGAUCAGAUGUAUUCUAGAGUGUCAAGUACCUGCACCUUGAACGUGCGCAAGUAUUUAAUCAGAGGUGAACUCCAGAAGAGAGCAGUAGAUAGACUUGGGAGCUAAAGAUGAGAAAGAAAGACUGUGUUUUUAGACAUAAAAAUCCCAGAGAGUACAUUUUUUGUUCAGUUGUAAUAGGUGUUAAUAUUUCCUUUUUUUUUUUUUUUUUUUUUUUUAAAUGCAGGCCUGUCUUGAAGACACUAUUGGGAACACAUGUAGGAACAGACAUCAUAUACUGGGCUGCAUAAAGAAAAAGGUGAAUAGAGGGCUGCAAAAAAUAAUUUUAAUCAGCUUUUCUGAACCUUUCCAUGUUUGAAAAACAAACUUGUGUUACUUAGUAUGUGAACUUAAAUACAACUGGGAUGGGACUUCUGUAUCAAAAACAUUUCCUCUAUUAAAAACCUGGAAACUGGCUGUCAUUACUCUUCCUUCUCUUUCUUCCCAAAUCAAAUAGUUGUGCCAACUGCUUGUUUUGUUUAACAGUCCCAGUCAGAGAGAUAUCAUGGCUAAUCACACUAUCAUUUUCUAAUGUUCACUGGAAGGAAAUCUCAAAUUGUUCUUGAGAACCUAAAUAUUAGGCUUAUUAUAAAUCUGAUUAAGCAGGAGCACCAAUCCUUG